CGAGACGAAGAGGCUGCACCGGAGGUCGGCGGCCAGCACGUCGCGGCCCGCCGCCUCCCUGACGGCCGCCCAGCCUGCGGGCUGCAUCCCGGGCGGCUGCGGCGCGCUGCCGGGGGACACGCGCCCGGCAGGGGCUCCGCGGGCUGAGCCUGCUGGUCUCGCCUGGGGAAUUGCGAUGACCUACCGCCUCCCUCCUGAACGUUUCCCUCCAAAACGGACUGCGCAGAAGGAGCCGUUGAACAUCCAGGGAAACUGCAUCUCAGCGUGCUGCACUGCUUGCCCAAGGUCCCACAGCCAGAUGGGGUGAACCUGGAAUUCACAUCCGGAUCUAAAAACCGAAAGACCUGCCCUCUGCUUCUCAGCCUUCAGAAUUCACUGCAUCGCUUCAGUCUCUGGUCUCUCAGACAAGGUGUCAGCAAGAUCCUUCUUUGGGGUCCUCUCAGAAAGAGAGCCCGGAGAGACAAAUAAUGGGGGAGGCCAGAGGGGAGGUUGACCUAACCCUGCGGAAGGGAAGGGACUGGACUCC